AUGCUAGUACACCGAAGCACAGAGUCGCUUGUCAUCGAGAGAUUGGACAUCCCAGCCACAGCACAGAGAGCCCUUCCGUCGAACGGGACUCAUUCAUCUUCUUGGAUGAAGACUAUCGAGAGUUGGAACAUGAUGAACUAUCACCAGUCAAGAUUACGAGGACGAUGGGAACCUUGGUAUUAUGAUUUCUACAAUUACCUCAAGGACGGGUUCAUAUCAGAGUACGCCACUCGUGGGGUACUCGCCCUUCCUUAG
rnacentral:lncRNA from 1 species